rnacentral:rRNA from 1 species
AGUGAACGCUGGCGGCGUGCCUAAUACAUGCAAGUCGAACGAACACACAGUGAGCUUGCGCCUCUGCCGGUGGCGACUGACGGACGGGUAACACAUACAUAGCCUUCUUCUAUUACUUGGAUAACUACGUGGAAACACAUCUACUACCAGAUCAUAUAUUCAACGGCUGAGUGCAGUAGUUAUUGACAGUUUUGCUGUCUCUAUUAGAUGGUUCCGCGUUGCAUUAGCUAGUUGGUAAGGUAACGGCUUACCAAGGCGACGAUGCGUAGCCGACCUGAGAGGGUGAUCAGCCACACUGGAACUGAGACACGGUCCAGACUCCUACGGGAGGCAGCAGUAGGGAAUCUUGCGCAAUGGGCGAAAGCCUGACGGAGCAAUGCCGCGUGAGUGAUGAAGGUCUUCGGAUCGUAAAGCCCUUUUAUUGGGGAAGAAAAGAUGCGGAAGUAACCAUGGCUGUCUUGACGGUACCUAAUCAGAAAGCCACGGCUAACUACGUG